rnacentral:rRNA from 1 species
CGUAGGUGCAAGCGUUAAUCGGAAUUACUGGGCGUAAAGCGUGCGCAGGCGGUUAUAUAAGUCAGAUGUGAAAUCCCCGGGCUCAACCUGGGAACUGCAUUUGAGACUGUAUGGCUAGAGUGUGUCAGAGGGGGUAGAAUUCCACGUGUAGCAGUGAAAUGCGUAGAUAUGUGGAGGAAUACCGAUGGCGAAGGCAGCCCCUGGGAUAACACUGACGCUCAUGCACGAAAGCGUGGGGAGCAAACAGGAUU